rnacentral:lncRNA from 1 species
AUGAAUUUUACCCUUGUAACACCCCUGUCAUAGAGAAGCAUUUUGUCCCAUUUUUAAAGGAACAAGGGUGAACGGAGUGACCCACCUGCCCUGUCAUGCCUCCACUCUCAGCUGACUCAGACGCCUGAAAUCUGAGCAAUGUCAGAACAGUUGUACCGGCCAUCCCACCAGUGUUGUGACUUGCACAUGGGCCAACUCUUAGGGAAGAAUGGGUAGAUAACAAAAUGCCAGCUCCUGGUAAACUUGGAAGAGCCCAGUCACAGGUGAAAAUCGGUUCAGCCUACAGACAACAAAACAGUUAUUCAAAGUGCAGUUAUACACCGAAACGUGACAGCAGAAGUGGUGGUGCACAUUGGAGGUAGAGCUGUGGGAACAGUG